rnacentral:rRNA from 1 species
CCUACGGGGGACUGCAGUGGGGGAUAUUGCACAAUGGGGGGAACCCUGAUGCAGCGACGCCGCGUGGGUGAAGGAGUAUUUCGGUAUGUAAAGCCCUAUCGGCAGGGAAGAAAUUGGACGGUACCUGACUAAGAAGCCCCGGCUAACUACGUGCCAGCAGCCGCGGUAAUACGUAGGGGGCAAGCGGUAUCCGGAUUCACUGGGUGUAAAGGGAGCGUAGACGGCCAUGCAAGCCAGGGGUGAAAGCCCGGGGCCCAACCCCGGGACCGCCCUUGGAACUGCAUGGCUGGAGUGCGGGAGGGGCAGGCGGAAUGCCUGGUGUAGCGGUGAAAUGCGUAGAUAUCAGGAGGAACACCGGCGGCGAAGGCGGCCUGCUGGACCGCGACUGACGUUGAGGCUCGAAAGCGUGGGGAGCGAACAGGAUUAGAUACCCGUGUAGUC